GGAUUAGAUACCCUGGUAGUCCACGCCCUAAACGAUGUCAACUGGUUGUUGGGUCUUCACUGACUCAGUAACGAAGCUAACGCGUGAAGUUGACCGCCUGGGGAGUACGGCCGCAAGGUUGAAACUCAAAGGAAUUGAUGGGGACCCGCACAAGCGGUGGAUGAUGUGGUUUAAUUCGAUGCAACGCGAAAAACCUUACCCACCUUUGACAUGGCAGGAAGUUUCCAGAGAUGGAUUCGUGCCCGAAAGGGAACCUGCACACAGGUGCUGCAUGGCUGUCGUCAGCUCGUGCCG
rnacentral:rRNA from 1 species